rnacentral:tRNA from 1 species
GGUUGAUUAGUGCAGAGUAAGGCCCUAGCUUAAUUAAAGUAUCUGGGUUGCAUUCAGAUGAUGUAGGGU